rnacentral:rRNA from 1 species
CAGGUCGGCUUGCAUGAGACUGCAGUCAAACGGGCGAUCGAAGCUUGCUUUGGUCGCUAGUGGCGGACGGCUGAGUAACGCGUAGGUGACCUGCCCCGAAGUGGGGAAUAACUGCCCGAAAGGGUGGCUAAUACCGCAUGUGGUGGCGUGUUCGUUCACGCCAGUAAAGCCGCAAGGCGCUUCGGGAGGGGCCUGCGUACGAUUAGCUCGUUGGUGGGGUAACGGCUCACCAAGGCGACGAUCGUUAGGUGGUCUGAGAGGACGAUCACCCAGACUGGGACUGAGACACGGCCCAGACUCCUACGGGAGGCAGCAGUCGGGAAUUUUGCGCAAUGGACGAAAGUCUGACGCAGCAACGCCGCGUGAGGGAUGAAGGCCUUCGGGUUGUAAACCUCUUUUCCCAGGGACGAUAGUGACGGUACCUGGGGAAUAAGCCACGGCUAACUACGUGCCAGCAGCCGCGGUAAUACGUAGGUGGCGAGCGUUGUCCGGAUUUACUGGGCGUAAAGAGCGCGCAGGCGGCUCUUCAAGUCGAAUGUGAAAGCCCCCGGCUCAACUGGGGAGGGUCAUUCGAUACUGAUGGGCUCGAAGGCGGGAGAGGGAAGUGGAAUUCCGGGUGUAGUGGUGAAAUGCGUAGAUAUCCGGAGGAACACCAGUGGCGAAGGCGACUUCCUGGCCCGUUCUUGACGCUGAGGCGCGAAAGCUAGGGUAGCAAACGGGAUUAGAUACCCCGGUAGUCCUAGCCGU